rnacentral:ncRNA from 1 species
UGAUAGAGGCGCAGAUUUCAUAAGUACUUUGUGGCAAUAGUCUGGGAGGACUGCCGAUUAGAAAAGGGGGAUCUGCCGAAGAAAUUCUAUUCUCCCAAUAGGAUUUCUGGGCUGCAGUCAGAACAUGCUGCAGACUGUCACAACAGUGGAGCGCUAUCA